UCCUCGGUGAUGUAAUGGCAGCAUGACUCGCUGUUAACGAGUUCGCCCUGGUUCGAGUCCAGGCCGAGGAG
rnacentral:tRNA from 1 species